rnacentral:rRNA from 1 species
GGCGAGUGAGCGGCAACAGCUCAAAUUUGAAAUCUGGCGUCUUUGGCGUCCGAGUUGUAAUUUGCAGAGGGCGCUUUGGCAUUGGCAGCGGUCCAAGUUCCUUGGAACAGGACGUCACAGAGGGUGAGAAUCCCGUACGUGGUCGCUAGCCUUUACCGUGUAAAGCCCCUUCGACGAGUCGAGUUGUUUGGGAAUGCAGCUCUAAAUGGGAGGUAAAUUUCUUCUAAAGCUAAAUACUGGCCAGAGACCGAUAGCGCACAAGUAGAGUGAUCGAAAGAUGAAAAGCACUUUGGAAAGAGAGUUAAAAAGCACGUGAAAUUGUUGAAAGGGAAGCGCUUGCAGCCAGACUUGCCUGUAGUUGCUCAUCCGGGUUUCUACCCGGUGCACUCUUCUAUAGGCAGGCCAGCAUCAGUUUGGGCGGUUGGAUAAAGGUCUCUGUCAUGUACCUCUCUUCGGGGAGAACUUAUAGGGGAGACGACAUGCAACCAGCCUGGACUGAGGUCCGCGCAUCUGCUAGGAUGCUGGCGUAAUGGCUGUAAGCGGCCCGUCUUGAAACACG